rnacentral:rRNA from 1 species
AUAGAGGCCUACCAUGGUGGUAACGGGCAACGGGGUGUUAGGGCACGACACCGGAGAGGGAGCCUGAGAAACGGCUACCACAUCCAAGGAUGGCAGCAGGCGCGCAAAUUACCCAAUCCCGACACGGGGAGGUAGUGACAAUAAAUAACAAUACGGGGUUCUUUAGGAUCUCGUAAUUGGAAUGAGUACAAUUUAAAUCUCUUAACGAGGAACAGUUGGAGGGCAAGUCUGGUGCCAGCAGCCGCGGUAAUUCCAGCUCCAAUAGCGUAUAUUAAAGUUGUUGCAGUUAAAAAGCUCGUAGUUGAAUUUCGGGGUUAGUAGGUUGGUCAUGCCUCUGGUAUGUACUGGUCUCACUGAUUCCUCCUUCCUGAUGAACCGUAAUGCCAUUAAUUUGGUGUUGCGGGGAAUUUGGACUGUUACUUUGAAAAAAUUAGAGUGUUUAAAGCAAGCUAACGCUUGAAUACAUUAGCAUGGAAUAAUGAGAUAGGACGUUCGAUCCUAUUUUGUUGGUUUCUAGGAUUGACGUAAUGAUUAAUAGGGAUAGUUGGGGGCAUUAGUAUUCAAUUGUCAGAGGUGAAAUUCUUGGAUUUAUUGAAGACUAACUACUGCGUAAGCAUUUGCCAAGGAUGUUUUCAUUAAUCAAGAACGAAAGUUAGGGGAUCGAAGACGAUCAGAUACCGUCGUAGUCUUAACCAUAAACUAUGCCGACUAGG